rnacentral:rRNA from 1 species
UACGUAGGGUGCGAGCGUUAAUCGGAAUUACUGGGCGUAAAGCGUGCGCAGGCGGUUCGUUAAGUUCGUUGUGAAAGCCCCGGGCUCAACCUGGGAACUGCAAUGGAAACUGGCGGGCUUGAGUGUGGCAGAGGAAGGUGGAAUUCCUGGUGUAGCGGUGAAAUGCGUAGAUAUCAGGAGGAAUACCGGUGGCGAAGGCGGCCUUCUGGACGAUGACUGACGCUGAGACGCGAAAGCGUGGGGAGCAAACAGG